rnacentral:rRNA from 1 species
CUACGGGUGGCACCAGUGAGGAAUUUUGCGCAAUGGGGGCAACCCUGACGCAGCAACGCCGCGUGAGUGAAGAAGGCCUUUGGGUCGUAAAGCUCUGUCAAUGGGGAAGAAGUUAUUAUGUGUUAAUAGCACAUUUUAUUGACGGUACCCAUGAAGGAAGCACCGGCUAACUCCGUGCCAGCAGCCGCGGUAAUACCGGGGGUGCAAGCGUUAUUCGGAAUUAUUGGGCGUAAAGGGCACGCAGGCGGUCCUGUCAGUCAGAUGUGAAAGCCCGGGGCUCAACCCUGGACGUGCAUUUGGAACAGCAGGACUUGAGUACGGGAGAGGAAAGGGGAAUUCCUGGUGUAGAGGUGAAAUUCGUAGAUAUCAGGAGGAACACCGGUGGCGAAGGCGCCUUUCUGGACCGAUACUGACGCUGAGGUGCGAAGGCGUGGGUAGCGAACGGGAUUAGAUACCCUCGUAGUC